GCCGCCGCCGCCGCCCCCUGCCGCCGCGCCCGGUCCGGCCCCGCCCGGCCCCGGCUUUUAAAGAGACCGCGGGUCCGCGCCCCGGCACGGCGCGGCUCCGGCAGAAGCCGUCGCUCCCUGCGCGUCCCGCGGCGGCGCGGACGCCUCCUCCGGGACGGCCGCCCUCCGAUCCCUGCGCUUCGGCGCCGCCGUUUCCGCGCCGACGAAGGCGGGGGAUUUCCGUCCCCGCGGCCCCGGCGGGGGAACGAGACCUGUUCGCCGGCACGCGCGGAGCCGUCCCGGGGCAGGAGACAACAGCAAGAUCCCUUUCCAAGGAGAUUGGCACAGAUUUAUACACCUGGUCACCCCUCUGACACUGCUCCCACCACUGGACAGAAGAAGCAAAGAUGGGGCUGUGAAAGUGACCUGAUGACAUCCAUAUGCUUCCCUAGCAACAAAUACUACAUCCUACUUGUUCAUCAGUACAUUUGGGUAAAAACAGAAAAAGUGGAAAGGAGUAUGGGUGAAUACUAA
rnacentral:lncRNA from 1 species